rnacentral:rRNA from 1 species
AUUGAACGCUGGCGGCAGGCCUAACACAUGCAAGUCGAACGAGUGGCGGACGGGUGAGUAAUGUCUGGGCAACUGCCCGAUGGAGGGGGAUAACUACUUGCAACGGUAGCUAAUACCGCAUACCAUCGGAUGUGCCCAGAUGGGAUUAGCUAGUAGGUGGGGUAACGGCUCACCUAGGCGACGAUCCCUAGCUGGUCUGCGAGGAUGACCAGCCACACGAGAACUUGUAAACGGUCCAGCAUCCUACGGGAGGCAGAAGGGGGGAAGAUUGCACAAGGGGCGCAAGCCGGAUGCAGCCAUGCCGAGUGUAUGAAGAAGGCGUUCGGGUUGUAAAGUACUUUCAGCGAGGAGGCGUUACCGACAGAGGAAGCAACGGCUAACUCCGUGCGAGCAGCCGCGGUAAUAC